rnacentral:rRNA from 1 species
CCUACGGGUGGCAGCAGUGGGGAAUAUUGGGCAAUGGAGGAAACUCUGACCCAGCAACGCCGCGUGAAUGAUGAAGGUCUUCGGAUUGUAAAGCUCUAUCAGCAGGGAAGAGAAUGACGGUACCUGACUAAGAAGCCCCGGCUAACUACGUGCCAGCAGCCGCGGUAAUACGUAGGGGGCAAGCGUUAUCCGGAUUUACUGGGUGUAAAGGGAGCGUAGACGGCUGGCCAAGUCUGAAGUGAAAGCCCGGGGCUUAACCCCGGAACGGCUUUGGACACUGGCCGGCUGGAGUGCUGGAGAGGCAGGCGGAAUUCCUGGUGUAGCGGUGAAAUGCGUAGAUAUCAGGAGGAACACCGGUGGCGAAGGCGGCCUGCUGGACAGUAACUGACGUUGAGGCUCGAAAGCGUGGGGAGCAAACAGGAUUAGAUACCCCAGUAGUC